GAACGCUGGCGGCAGGCCUAACACAUGCAAGUCGAACGGUAACAGGAAGCAGCUUGCUGCUUGCUGACGAGUGGCGGACGGGUGAGUAAUGUCUGGGAAACUGCCCGAUGGAGGGGGAUAACUACUGGAAACGGUAGCUAAUACCGCAUAAUGUCGCAAGACCAAAGAGGGGGACCUUCGGGCCUCUUGCCAUCGGAUGUGCCCAGAUGGGAUUAGCUAGUUGGUGAGGUAACGGCUCACCAAGGCGACGAUCCCUAGCUGGUCUGAGAGGAUGACCAGCCACACUGGAACUGAGACACGGUCCAGACUCCUACGGGAGGCAGCAGUGGGGAAUAUUGCACAAUGGGCGCAAGCCUGAUGCAGCCAAUGCCGCGUGUAUGAAGAAGGCCUUCGGGUUGUAAAGUACUUUCAGCGGGGAGGAAGGGGUUAAGGUUAAUAACCUUAGCCAUUGACGUUACCCGCAGAAGAAGCACCGGCUAACUCCGUGCCAGCCGCCGC
rnacentral:rRNA from 1 species